rnacentral:lncRNA from 1 species
CUGCAAACAUACAACCAAGACUCCACAAGUCCAACGAGUAGUCGUAGUCUUGCAAAUCAACAAGUAGUUCAGGACCUUUGAAAUAUCUGCAACCAUAAUGAGAGGAGGCAAGACUGUUAGAAGCUACAAUGAGAAACCAAAGAAGCCCUCCAAAAUUAUUGAGAUUAGAUACAGAAUUAAAACUAGUUUUUGGUAGUUGAGGGGAAAAGGGCAGGAAAAGCAUAUUUAACCCACAUCAAUAAAGUAACAAAAGGUGCAUGCAACAAACCAGAAUCAUUUUGCAGGCAAGUCUGUCAGAAGCUACAAUGAGAAACCAAAGAAGCACUCCAAAAAUAUUAAGAUUAGAUACAGAAUUAAAACUAGUUUUUGGUAUUUGAGGGGAAAAGGGCAGAAAAAGCAUAUGUAACCCACAUCAAUAAAGUAACAAAGGGUGCAUGCAACAAACCAGAAAUAUUUUUUCUCUAUUAUGGCAAAAGAUCCUAGGAUUUUAUGAUCACGUAAAUGAGAUGAUACUUAAUUAUAAAGCCUCUUGUAAGUUCUAUAUCUUCAUGGAUGAGGGAAUGCUCUUAACUAUCAUAAUACGUAUCCCAUUGAACAUGACUAAUAAAUAGCGGACAGACAAAAUACUUCUGCUUUGAUCCUUCCGAAGCUCAAAAACCUCCCUUCUGUUCCUAAUGCUACCAAACCCAAUUCCUUACCCCAGCUGGGUUCCUGACCCUAACACUUGCAAGGAGAUGCACUUCAAAAUCUAUUUAUUAAAUUAACCUCUCUGUCUCUCAAAUUGCAUUCCCAUCAAAAUGAACUCUUAGUAUUAGACUGCUAAACCAAGUAUAAAUCCAGCAAACACGUUUUCGAGUCAAAAAUUUGACCAGCCUAUGUAAGAACUGGAAAUACGAUGUUCUAAUAUGCAUU